rnacentral:rRNA from 1 species
GACGAACGCUGGCGGCGUGCUUAACACAUGCAAGUCGAACGGAAAGGCCUGCUUUCCCUUGUGGAUUGCGGGUACUCGAGUGGCGAACGGGUGAGUAACACGUGAGUGAUCUGCCCCCAACUUGGGUAUAAGCCUGGGAAACUGGGUCUAAUUCCCGAUAGGACUGCAGGGUGGUGCCUGUGGUGGAAAACGAUUUUCUAGUGGUUGGGGAUGAGCUCGCGGCCUAUCAGCUUGUUGGUGGGGUAAUGGCCUACCAAGGCGGCGACGGGUAGCCGGCCUGGGAGGGUGGACGGCGACAUUGGGACUGAGUUACGGCCCAGACUCCUACGGGAGGCAGCAGUGGGGAAGAUUGCACAGUGAGCGGAAGCCUGAUGCAGCGACGCCGCGUGGGGGAUGACGGCCUUCGGGUUGUAAACUCCUUUCGACCGCGAGGAAGCCACCUGGUUGGAAGGGUGGUGACGGUAGUGGUAGAAGAAGCACCGGCUAACUACGUG